rnacentral:sRNA from 1 species
AUAUAUUAUUUUAAAAAUUUAUAAUCUUAUAUACUACAAUAAUUAAUAACACAUUAGAUUUUUUUAUGUGUAUGAUAUGAUUCAAUUUUUAAUACAAGCUGGAAAAUCCUAAAAUUGACGGGUUUAAAUCGAUAUUAAUACAAGAUGGUAUACUACAGGUGAAACUCUAAAAUUAACAAUCAAAAUACAAUU